CGCGUAGACGGUUUUUAAGUCUGGAGUGAAAGUCCUGCUUUCAAGGUGGGAAUUGCUUUGGAGACUGGAAGGCUUGAGUGCGGAAGAGGUAAGUGGAAUUCCCAGUGUAGCGGUGAAAUGCGUAGAGAUUGGGAAGAACACCAGUGGCGAAGGCGACUUACUGGGCCGUAACUGACGUUGAUGCGCGAAAGCGUGGGGAGCGAAACA
rnacentral:rRNA from 1 species